rnacentral:rRNA from 1 species
GACGGGUGAGUAACACGUAGGUAACCUACCUAUAAGACUGGGAUAACUUCGGGAAACCGGAGCUAAUACCGGAUAAUAUUUCGAACCGCAUGGUUCGAUAGUGAAAGAUGGCUUUGCUAUCACUUAUAGAUGGACCUGCGCCGUAUUAGCUAGUUGGUAAGGUAACGGCUUACCAAGGCAACGAUACGUAGCCGACCUGAGAGGGUGAUCGGCCACACUGGAACUGAGACACGGUCCAGACUCCUACGGGAGGCAGCAGUAGGGAAUCUUCCGCAAUGGGCGAAAGCCUGACGGAGCAACGCCGCGUGAGUGAUGAAGGUCUUCGGAUCGUAAAACUCUGUUAUUAGGGAAGAACAAACGUGUAAGUAACUGUGCACGUCUUGACGGUACCUAAUCAGAAAGCCACGGCUAACUACGUGCCAGCAGCCGCGGUAAUACGUAGGUGGCAAGCGUUAUCCGGAAUUAUUGGGCGUAAAGCGCGCGUAGGCGGUUUUUUAAGUCUGAUGUGAAAGCCCACGGCUCAACCGUGGAGGGUCAUUGGAAACUGGAAAACUUGAGUGCAGAAGAGGAAAGUGGAAUUCCAUGUGUAGCGGUGAAAUGCGCAGAGAUAUGGAGGAACACCAGUGGCGAAGGCGACUUUCUGGUCUGUAACUGACGCUGAUGUGCGAAAGCGUGGGGAUCAAACAGGAUUAGAUACCCUGGUAGUCCACGCCGUAAACGAUGAGUGCUAAGUGUUAGGGGGUUUCCGCCCCUUAGUGCUGCAGCUAACGCAUUAAGCACUCCGCCUGGG